ensembl:lncRNA
AGCCUGGCUCGCUCUCGCGCAUCUCUGUUCGCGCUCGUGCAUGAUUGCGCGUCCGGUCCAGGUACUUGGAAUGGGUGGAGUCAGAGUCAGCGUUGAAGGAGAGGGGGAUCAACUUGUCCACCUAGAGGUGCCCCAAUGGGCCCCAGAAAGCUGUCGAAAAUAAUUAGCUGCAGUCUGUAAACACCCCCUCCAGAAGGACGAGUGGCUGGAGGAGAGAAGCUCUUUGCAAAGCAAAAGGUCAAGUCAUCGCAUGACGUUACGUGGUUGGAGAAGGAAGUUAUCUCCCAAAAAUAAGCUGCCCAAGAGCUUUGAGGUGAUCUCCAGCGCGAGAAAGAACUUCAAGCUGCAGGUGUCAGAGAUGGCCAAACUGAGAGAGGCCUGGAAGAGGAUAAAAGAGACUGAGGGAAGUCUUUCAGACGGAGAAGGAGCUGUUCACUAAAGAGGGGGAUGACAUGGCUGAGGGCCUUCGAGAUGGAGAAAGAACACAUCAUGCAGCAGAUAGACUAUUUCAAAGCUGUUUUAUACAGUAAUUAUGAAAAGAAACAUCACUCUUUGAUCCGCUCCAGACAAAGAACAUUAGCAUGAUACUUCGAAAUGCCAGGAGGGCAAUCACAGAUUGCAAACUAAAAGUUG